UUUACCUUGCCUUGCCAAACGCGGGGCAAAUUAUUUCUAUGUAUAAACCGAUCUAAUACAAGACCCCCUGUUACACCCGAUUCGUUGGUCCAUCAAAAUUUAAUGGGUUUCAGGAAUAUCUUAAAUUUCCGAUAAUAUGACAAAAUAAAAGGAAAAUUGUUGAUGGGGGAGAUUUUGUGGGCAGAUAUUGGACGCCAUAUGUUGAUGUCGUGACAAGCGAAUUAUCCGGCAUCGUGUUACUGGCGCUACUCCUCAAACUUUGUUUACGGUUCCCAAAAAUGUACAAUACAUUUUAUAAUCAGCACGAAACGGAAUCUCGUGGUGUUAAUCUAGGCACUUCAUUAACACAUAAUGUAAGAAAUCUGUCAGCUUAUAUUAUGGUGAAUUUAAUUUUGCUUUCCGAUGCUGUUUUUCGUGUGGCCAAAUGCCUUGCAGCUGUUUUGGGGAUAUGUCGUUUAUAUAGUGUUACUGUGGGAAUGUAGUGGGACUGUGUGACUAGUUUCACGUUUGUAUUAAAAGUUCUUUGCCUUGGGGCUUUGUUUGUUUUACUGUCAUCGUUCACUGUUGUGAUCGUAAUUUCAUGCAUGAUUUUUACACUAUGUAAAUUUUUGUGAUCACAGUGGGAAUUUUGCAUAACUUAGAGUCAGUUCCCACGAACAAUUCCUACACAUCCUUCAAAACUUAGAAUUUACCCUCAUGUAAAAAUGUUUACUGUGAUCACAGAAACUUCCACAGUGUAAAGCAGCCUUAAAUAUGCAAAUGGCGAAAAGUAUAUCAUUGACUGAAGCCUGACCCUAAAACAAUAUCACUCAACCUACUGUUGUUCAGAGACUUGAGUUACGAUCCCCCCUCGCACAAUUCCCCUCCCCCCACACACACAAUUCCCUCCCUCCCCCACAAUC